UACGGGGGGGGCAAGCGUUGUUCGGAAUUACUGGGCGUAAAGGGCUCGUAGGCGGCCAACUAAGUCAGACGUGAAAUCCCUCGGCUUAACCGGGGAACUGCAUCUGAUACUGGAUGGCUUGAGUUCGGGAGAGGGAUGCGGAAUUCCAGGUGUAGCGGUGAAAUGCGCAGAUAUCAGGAGGAACACCGGUGGCGAAGGCGGGUCUCUGGGCAGUAACUGACGCUGAGACGCGAAAGCGUGGGGAGCGAACAGG
rnacentral:rRNA from 1 species